CACGUAGGCGGCUAUUCAAGUCGGGGGUGAAAGCCCGGGGGCUCAACCCCCGGAACUGCCCUCGAAACUAGAUAGCUAGAAUCUUGGAGAGGCGAGUGGAAUUCCGAGUGUAGAGGUGAAAUUCGUAGAUAUUCGGAAGAACACCAGUGGCGAAGGCGACUCGCUGGACAAGUAUUGACGCUGAGGUGCGAAAGCGUGGGGAGCAAACAG
rnacentral:rRNA from 1 species